rnacentral:tRNA from 1 species
GCUGAUAUAGCACAGUGGUAGUGCAGCUCAUUCGUAAUGAGCAGGUCGUCGGUUCGAAUCCGACUAUCAGCU